UACGGAGGAUGCGAGCGUUAUCCGGAUUCAUUGGGUUUAAAGGGUGCGCAGGCGGGCCUUUAAGCCGGCGGUGAAAUCGCGGGGCUCAACCCCGGGGCUGCCGUUGAAACCGGAGCGCUAGAAUUCCGAUGCCGUCGGAGGAAUGUGUGGUGUAGCGGUGAAAUGCAUAGAUAUCACACAGAACACCGAUUGCGAAGGCAUCUGACGAAUCGGAGAUUGACGCUGAUGCACGAAAGCGUGGGUAUCGAACAGG
rnacentral:rRNA from 1 species